AGUGAACGCUGGCGGUAGGCCUAACACAUGCAAGUCGAACGGCAGCACAGUAAGAGCUUGCUCUUACGGGUGGCGAGUGGCGGACGGGUGAGGAGUACAUCGGAAUCUACUUUUUCGUGGGGGAUAACGUAGGGAAACUUACGCUAAUACCGCAUACGACCUACGGGUGAAAGCAGGGGAGCUUCGGACCUUGCGCGAUUGAAUGAGCCGAUGUCGGAUUAGCUAGUUGGCGGGGUAAAGGCCCACCAAGGCGACGAUCCGUAGCUGGUCUGAGAGGAUGAUCAGCCACACUGGAACUGAGACACGGUCCAGACUCCUACGGGAGGCAGCAGUGGGGAAUAUUGGACAAUGGGCGAAAGCCUGAUCCAGCCAUACCGCGUGGGUGAAGAAGGCCUUCGGGUUGUAAAGCCCUUUUGUUGGGAAAGAAAAGCAGUAGGUUAAUCCCCCGCUGUUCUGACGGUACCCAAAGAAUAAGCACCGGCUAACUUCGUG
rnacentral:rRNA from 1 species